UCUCCUGUGAAAUGUUGAAAGGCAAACCUUCUGAAGAAGUCAAGAUGAAAUACCUCUGCUUUUGCCCAAGCAGAGAGGAAUGGGAAGCAGUAUGUGUGGUAUGUGAAGUGGAGGUGUACCUAUUGGUUGCAAGUAUCAUCUGAGUCCAGCUCUGGGGCCUAGAGUUAGAGAAAGACUAGGAUAAUGAUGAAGUGCUGCAAAAAUCCAGAGCACUGUUAUACAGAUAUGAAGAUCCAGGACGGCUGCUUCUUUCACUUUCACGUCUUCAGAAGGAAAUAGAAAGGUAGUGCUGCGUGACUGAGCUGCCGUGCUUUGCCAGAUGGUAGCUGAUGGGUGAACUAGAGCUCUAAUCGCCGACACUCUUCUGUGCAAACUGAGAAACCGUGGGUUUGCCUAUCCUAACAACAUAAAGGUUCCUUUAA